CGUGGCUUCACAUGAGUACUGGGAGGAGCUCCCAAAACCAAAGCAGAUGGGACCUCUUUGGAAGGUUUUGCAGACUCCAGCUAGGAUCAGGAGGAGCUAGCUCUCUCUUGUGGAGAUGCCAGGACAGCUGAAAGUGAUAUACCACCCUAUGGAUACCUCCACUGAAACCAGGGAUUCUGACAUAUAUCCUUCUCCACAUGCCGGGGCUCCCGUUAUGGCACAGGACCUCCCAUUAUCACCUCCUGGACCCCAUAACAAAGAUGAUAUUUUCUAUUGAAGAGCUAUAGCCUGAAGCACGGGGACUUCUUGUGGUUUUGUUUGUUUGUUUUCUUAAUGAGCAAUGUGUGCACUCUGGAAUCUCUAAUCUACUGUCUAAAGGCAAUAUUCCUUGUUAUUGGGACUUCUCAUCUGUAACAAAGCAGUCAGUGUUGGUAUUUCAGGUUUUAAGUGUUAAAAAAGAAAGUAAGACACAA